rnacentral:rRNA from 1 species
CACGUAGGGUGCGAGCGUUGUCCGGAAUUAUUGGGCGUAAAGAGCUCGUAGGCGGUGUGUCGCGUCGGCCGUGAAAACCUGCAGCUUAACUGUGGGCUUGCGGUCGAUACGGGCAUCACUGGAGUUCGGCAGGGGAGACUGGAAUUCCUGGUGUAGCGGUGAAAUGCGCAGAUAUCAGGAGGAACACCGGUGGCGAAGGCGGGGUCUCUGGGCCGGAUACUGACGCUGGAGGAGCG